AGUGAACGCUGGCGGUAGGCCUAACACAUGCCAGUCGAACGGCAGCACAGUAAGAGCUUGCUCUUACGGGUGGCGAGUGGCGGACGGGUGAGGAAUACAUCGGAAUCUACUUUUUCGUGGGGGAUAACGUAGGGAAACUUACGCUAAUACCGCAUACGACCUACGGGUGAAAGCAGCGGAUCUUCGGACCUUGCGCGAUUGAAUGAGCCGAUGUCGGAUUAGCUAGUUGGCGGGGUAAAGGCCCACCAAGGCGACGAUCCGUAGCUGGUCUGAGAGGAUGAUCAGCCACACUGGAACUGAGACACGGUCCAGACUCCUACGGGAGGCAGCAGUGGGGAAUAUUGGACAAUGGGCGCAAGCCUGAUCCAGCCAUACCGCGUGGGUGAAGAAGGCCUUCGGGUUGUAAAGCCCUUUUGUUGGGAAAGAAAAGCAGCAGGUUAAUACCCCGCUGUUCUGACGGUACCCAAAGAAUAAGCACCGGCUAACUUCGUG
rnacentral:rRNA from 1 species